rnacentral:lncRNA from 1 species
GGGCUGCAGGACGUGGAGCGCUACUACCGGCACCUGUACCUGGAGAGCGACCUCCUCCUGCGCCGCAUCAGCUGCGACAGCCCGGCGGACAUGGAAGCUCUCCCGCAGGCCUGGGAGAGGAUCUUGGAGCGCUACAAGGAUGACAUUGUCCAAGAUGUGCUUCUCAAGGUCUCUCUGUUCGUGGACAACCAGCGGGAGCUGUGCUGCUCACCCGACUCCUGACAGAGGGGCUGAUGCCGACCAGCGUCUGCAAGUGGCUGGUAUAUCCUGAGGUGACCAUGAGGAAGAUCUGAGGAAGCUCUACUGGUGCUUUUUGGAAGCUGAAAAUGAGUUUGGUACUGGGUCUCAGUGGCAAACACCUGGACUGUGUCAUUUUCAAGUUGAAAUGGACUCUUCUGAAGUAGAGGCUGAGCUAAACAAACCAUGAAGGUGGACAGGAGUUGUCUUCAGCUUCAGAAGUUGCUGGCCAUGGAUAUUUUGUAUACUGAAAAAAAGUUGAGACUUACUAACCCGAGGUGCACAGCAAAUAAGUGACGGUGACAUCAGGUCCAGCAGGCUGAUCCCAUGUCAGAAAGGUAUUUAGGUACUGUCCUUACACAUAAAUAAAGCAUACCAAAUCAGAGCUAGGAAACAGUUUGCACCUUGUGCCUCUGAGUAAUGCCUUUGUUUUCAUCUCACCUCUGUGUUGAAGAGUGAGGAGCAAAUUUGGCUUGAAAAGGUAAUUGUGGAGGUGCCUGGACACUUGAGUGCUGACACAGGCAGGUUCAGUGUGUUACCAGUCUGAUACCUCCACUAGGGCACGUUUACAUCACAGUCUUAAAACAUCACGUUCCCAGAAAGCAGUGGGAUGCCUGUCUCUAAAUAACAUGCUUUGUAAGAAAACGAACCUUCCUAGGGAAGGCCAAAUAAAGAAUUGUUC